UUGCGGUUGAACUGAGCCUGC
rnacentral:misc_RNA from 1 species